AACGCUAGCUACAGGCUUAACACAUGCAAGUCGAGGGGCAGCAUGGUCUUAGCUUGCUAAGGCCGAUGGCGACCGGCGCACGGGUGAGUAACACGUAUCCAACCUGCCGUCUACUCUUGGACAGCCUUCUGAAAGGAAGAUUAAUACAAGAUGGCAUCAUGAGUCCGCAUGUUCACAUGAUUAAAGGUAUUCCGGUAGACGAUGGGGAUGCGUUCCAUUAGAUAGUAGGCGGGGUAACGGCCCACCUAGUCUUCGAUGGAUAGGGGUUCUGAGAGGAAGGUCCCCCACAUUGGAACUGAGACACGGUCCAAACUCCUACGGGAGGCAGCAGUGAGGAAUAUUGGUCAAUGGGCGAGAGCCUGAACCAGCCAAGUAGCGUGAAGGAUGACUGCCCUAUGGGUUGUAAACUUCUUUUAUAAAGGAAUAAAGUCGGGUAUGGGUACCCGUUUGCAUGUACUUUAUGAAUAAGGAUCGGCUAACUCCGUGCCAGCAGCCGCGGUAAUACGGAGGAUCCGAGCGUUAUCCGGAUUUAUUGGGUUUAAAGGGAGCGUAGGCGGACGCUUAAGUCAGUUGUGAAAGUUUGCGGCUCAACCGUAAAAUUGCAGUUGAUACUGGGUGUCUUGAGUACAGUAGAGGCAGGCGGAAUUCGUGGUGUAGCGGUGAAAUGCUUAGAUAUCACGAAGAACUCCGAUUG
rnacentral:rRNA from 1 species